rnacentral:tRNA from 1 species
GCCCCCGUAGCUCAGGAGAUAGAGCCCGGGCCUGCUGAGCCCGGUGAGCGUGGGUGCAAUUCCCACCGGGGGCA